rnacentral:rRNA from 1 species
AGGCGACGACGGGUAGCCGGCCUGAGAGGGCGACCGGCCACACUGGGACUGAGACACGGCCCAGACUCCUACGGGAGGCAGCAGUGGGGAAUAUUGCGCAAUGGGCGAAAGCCUGACGCAGCGACGCCGCGUGAGGGAUGAAGGCCUUCGGGUUGUAAACCUCUUUCAGCAGGGACGAAGCGAAAGUGACUGUACCUGCAGAAGAAGCACCGGCUAACUACGUGCCAGCAGCCGCGGUAAUACGUAGGGUGCAAGCGUUGUCCGGAAUUAUUGGGCGUAAAGAGCUCGUAGGCGGUUUGUCGCGUCGGAUGUGAAAACUUGGGGCUCAACCCCGAGCCUGCAUUCGAUACGGGCAAACUAGAGUUCGGUAGGG